rnacentral:rRNA from 1 species
AAAAAAACUUUCAACAAUGGAUCUCUUGGCUCUCGCAUCGAUGAAGAACGCAGCAAAAUGCGAUAAGUAAUAUGAAUUGCAGAAUUCCGUGAAUCAUCAAAUUUUUGAACGCAAAUUGCACUUCUUGGUAUUCCGAGGAGUACACAUGCUUGAGGGUCAGUUA